CGGUGGCGAUGCGCUUAGGGGAAACACCCGUACCCAUCCCGAACACGAUGGUUAAGACUUAAGCGGCCGAUGGUACUAUGCUGGAGACGGCAUGGGAGAGCAGGUGGCUGCCGGAUU
rnacentral:rRNA from 2 species